UAAGAGGGUGUCUCCCCCUCCUGUCAUCUGUCCCUUUCCUUCUAAGGCCCGAGGAGGAAGGCAUGCUGCGGGCUCUCUCCCUCCUUCUAGCUUUCCUGGCUCCUGCCACUCAGGUAUCUUCCAACAUGGAAGGGACACAGAUGUUGGUCACCAAGCAGGCUGGAUCAUCUGUUGUUAUCACUUGUGAUAUUACACAAAACAGCGACUAUGUCCACUGGUACCGAUACCAGGAGGGGAUGGCCCCACGACGCCUUCUCUACUAUCAUUUCUCCAGCUCAAAGGUUGUGGUGGAAUCCGGAAUCAGUUCCCAAAAAUAUCAUGCUUAUGGAGGCACAGGGAGGAGGUGUAAACUUUUAAUCAGAAUUCUCGAAGGAAGUGAUUCUGGUGUGUAUUACUGUGCUGUCUGGGAGAGGCACAGUGAUUCAGACCUUCCCUAUCCUGCGCUGAUAGUCUUGCUUGUAGCUGCCAAGAGCUGCCUUGACACACAGGGUAGACCAGCCCCAACUUCACUUCCUACUCUGACUUCACUGUGCUCUGAACAAAGAGAGAGCCGGAAUUCAAUGCCCAAACUCACCCUUAUAUUCCACUGGCCUCCUCCCCCACUAGCCAUAGCAUGUUCCUAACGAUGGCUCUCCUAUCUCCAGGCCUUAGGCAAGCAGUCUGGCAGACAGCAUGUUCUUUCAGCUCUCCCAGGAGCUGGUGGAGUCCAUUCAGUCUGCUUCCUGGGACAGACAAGGUCACCUAGAG